rnacentral:rRNA from 1 species
CCUACAGGUGGCAGCAGUGAGGAAUAUUUGUCAAUGGGCGUAAGCCUGAACCAGCCAAGUCGCGUGAGGGAUGAAGGUUCUAUGGUUCGUAACCCUCUUUUAUAAGGGAAUAUAGUGCGGGACGUGUUCCGUUUUGUAUGUACCUUAUGAAUAAGGAUCGGCAAACUCUGUGCCAGCAGCCGCGGUAAUGCGGAGGAUCCGAGCGUUAUCCGGUGUUUUUGGGUUUAAAGGGUUCGAAGUGGGACUAUUAUGUCAGCGGGGAAACUCUGUGUCUCAACCAUAAUAUUGCCGGUGAAACUGGGAAGCUUGAGUAUGUUAGAGGCAGGCGGAAUGCGUGGUGUAGGAGUGAAAUCCGUAGAUAUCA